UUGAAUGCUUUUUACUCUCUGCUGAUAUGACUGACCAUGACACAUGGCAGUUGAUCUCUUCCUUUCGAUCGAAUUCAGCAUCAGUCAACUUGGGACUUUGAGGGUGCUAUCUUCUCUUUUUUUUCUUUCUUUUUUCUCUUUCUUCUGAUUUGAUUUCUUUUGAUUUCUUUUGAUUUUGAUUGAUUUCUUUUUUUUUUUGAUUUUGAUUGAUUUCUUU
rnacentral:lncRNA from 1 species